UACGGAGGGUGCGAGCGUUAAUCGGAAUUACUGGGCGUAAAGCGUGCGUAGGCGGUUUGAUAAGUCGGGUGUGAAAGCCCCGGGCUUAACCUGGGAAUUGCAUUCGAUACUGUCUGACUCGAGUCUGGGAGAGGGAAGGACGGAAUUCCGGGUGUAGGCGGUGAAAUGCGGUAGAAUAUCGGAAGGAACACCAGUGGCGAAAAGCAGGCCUUCCGUGGUACCG
rnacentral:rRNA from 1 species